rfam:Macrostomum lignano uti_cns_0006916, whole genome shotgun sequence.
CCGGUGAUAGCUCAGUUGGUAGAGCGGAGGACUGUAGAGUGCAAUAUGCAGCGAUCCUUAGGUCGGUGGUUCAAAUCCGCCUCACCGGA